rnacentral:rRNA from 1 species
AACGCUGGCGGCAGGCCUAACACAUGCAACUCGAGCGCGCCUUCGGGUGAGCGGCGGACGGGUUAGUAACGCGUGGGAACGUGCCCUUCUCUACGGAAUAGCCUCUGGAAACGGAGAGUAAUACCGUAUACGCCCUUUGGGGGAAAGAUUUAUCGGAGAAGGAUCGGCCCGCGUUAGAUUAGGUAGUUGGUGGGGUAACGGCCUACCAAGCCUACGAUCUAUAGCUGGUUUUAGAGGAUGAUCAGCAACACUGGGACUGAGACACGGCCCAGACUCCUACGGGAGGCAGCAGUGGGGAAUCUUAGACAAUGGGGGCAACCCUGAUCUAGCCAUGCCGCGUGAGUGAUGAAAGCCUUAGGGUCGUAAAGCUCUUUCGCCUGUGAUGAUAAUGACAGUAGCAGGUAAAGAAACCCCGGCUAACU